rnacentral:lncRNA from 12 species
CCCCGCUUCCACGGGGUCUUUAGGCGGCCGGCCCGGCUGCCCCGCGGCUCAGCGGGCCCCAGCACAGGCCCGGGCCGGCCACGGCGGCCAGCGAGGCGGGACGGCGGCGCGGCCUCGGAGCCUGACGGCGGGGCUCCCGGGCCCGUCCCGCCACCAGGCUGCGCCCGCCCGGCCCAGCGGCGCCACCGCCCACGGACAAUGGCGGCGGCCGGGGCCCCUCGGCAGCUCCGGGCGCCGCCGCUCCCCCUGCCGCCGGCUCACCUGCAGGCCGCCGCCUCCGCCCGGCGCGCUCCGAGCCCGGCCUCAGCACCGGCCCCCAGGCCCGCGGCGCCCCGGGGCCCAUCCGACGCGGCGCUCGGGCCGGAAGCGCCCUGACGCCCUUCCGGGGAGGGGCUCCGAGCAGCCGCGCCGCCGCGGGCCGCCGCCUCGCCCGGGGGAGCGGCCUUCCGCCCGGUGCCGCCCUGGCGGCCGGGAAGAACUAGUGCCCCCGAGCGCCCGGCCCGCCGCGGCCUGGGGGCGGGGGGCGGCGCGGCCGGCUGGUGCCUGCGUGGCCCUCGGGCGGCCGGCGGCGCCUGGUGCCCCGAGCCCCGCCGGGAGCGUGGCCGCCGCCGCGCUCGGGGCCCUGGGCCUUGCCCGAGCUCUCGUCGCGGUCAGGCGGCUCCGAGGCCUUGCUUGGCCCUCCUCAGGGCCGCGCGCCCCUCGCAGCCAUCCCGGGGGCCCGGUGAGGUCUUGAGAUCAAGAACAAAACUAAAAAGGAGAAUCAGAAAUGGGAUGGUUUGGGGCAAGCAGAAGCGAAGAAGACCCUAUGGAGAAAGUCUAGUGAGACGUUUUGGCGCCCUGAGCCCAAGAGAGGCCAGAAAGGCGAGCCUCUGUUAAGAGGGCAGUGGAAAUGCCCUGCAGGGGAGCAAGAGGGGAGACCCCCAUCCCAGGAGAGGUGGAGUCAGCAGAUACUCCGUGCUGGGGAGAAGGCCUAUGCCCAUGUCCUAAGCCUGGGAGAUGGCUCUUGGGGCUCUCCCUGUCUCCACCAGCCAGUCGCUCAAGUGGAGAAAUCAUCGAAGUGCCAGCAGUGUGGGAAAAGCUUUAGUUGAGGUUCUUACCUCGUUCGGCACCAGAGAAUCCACACAGGAGAG